rnacentral:tRNA from 23 species
GCGAAGGUGGCGGAAUUGGUAGACGCGCUAGCUUCAGGUGUUAGUGUCCUUACGGACGUGGGGGUUCAAGUCCCCCCCCUGCACCA